rnacentral:rRNA from 1 species
AGAAUCAACGCUGGCGGCGUGCCUAACACAUGCAAGUCGAACGAGAAAGUGGAGCAAUCCAUGAGUAAAGUGGCGACCGGGUGAGUAACACGUGACUAACCUACCUUCGAGUGGGGGAUAACCUCGGGAAACCGGGGCUAAUACCGCAUAACAUCUUUGAAGUGGAAAUUUCGGAGAUCAAAGGAGCAAUUCGCUGGAAGAGGGGGUCGCGGCUGAUUAGCUAGUUGGCGGGGUAACGGCCCACCAAGGCUUAGAUCGGUAGCCGGCCUGAGAGGGCGCACGGCCACACUGGAACUGAAACACGGUCCAGACUCCUACGGGAGGCAGCAGUGGGGAAUUUUGCGCAAUGGGGGAAACCCUGACGCAGCAACGCCGCGUGGAGGAUGAAGUCCCUUGGGACGUAAACUCCUUCGACCCGGACGAUAAUGACGGUACGGGUGGAAGAAGCCCGGCUAACUUCGCGCCAGCAGCCGC